rnacentral:rRNA from 1 species
GACAGAGGUGCCGAGCGUUAGGCGGAAUCACUGGGCUUAAAGCGUGUGUAGGCGGCUCGUUAAGUACCUUGUGAAAUCCCAUGGCUCAACCAUGGAACUGCUUGGUAUACUGGCGGUCUUGAGCCAGCUAGGGGCUACCGGAACAAAUGGUGGAGCGGUGAAAUGCGUAGAUAUCAUUUGGAACGCCAAUGGUGAAAACAGGUAGCUGGGGCUGUGCUGACGCUGAGACACGAAAGCCAGGGGAGCGAACGGG